UUGGGGGUUCCCGGGUGAUUUUUGGGGUGUUCCGGGUGAUUUUUGGGGGUUCCCGGGUGAUUUUUGGGGGUUCCCGAGUGAUUUUUGGUGUGUUCCGGGUGAUUUUGGGGGGGUCCCGGGUGAUUUUUGGUGUGUUCCGGGUGAUUUUUGGGGGGUCCCGGGUGAUUUUUGGGGUGUUCCGGGUGAUUUUUGGUGUGUUCCGGGUGAUUUUUGGGGUGUUGCGG